GUAAGCCGUCACCUCCCCUCCUCUCUCUCUCCCUCCCUCUCUCUCCCCCUCUCCUGCCUUCUCUGGCCUCUAUCCGCCGACAACUCCCUAACGGUCUCCCAUCCACAUCCGACUAUGAUGACAUCUCUGCUAGGUGAGUUCUCUCUCUCUUAGUCCCCACUGUCUAUUCUGGAGUCGUCAGAGAGCUCGAAGCCCUUGUGAAGCCCAUGCCUCUCUUGUCUCUCCCUCUCCCCUAUCCUCCAGCCCCUAUCCUCCGGCAAUACCAUCUGAUGGCAUACUGUCCACAUCCCAGCCAGGUUGGGAUAUUGAUUGGAGGCUUGUUGUUUUAGGGACUGCUGACUCAUCUUGAUUUGAUUUGUUGUUGAUCAACAACUUUACUUGAUCAUGCCUUUGUUGAUGCCAAGUAGCAGAGCAGAAGAAUGAAGUUUGAAGUGAAUAUCUUUAAACAGGACUUUCAUCCUAAGGGCAAAAAACACGUGCAAGUUGCAUGAAGAUUUAAUGUUGGUGCUAGCAUUCUAUAUCCUGGAUUCCAUGUAAAUUUUGAAAGGCGAAUUCAGUGCAAGGAACAAGAUGGUCUUCUAAGUUCCGAUCAGGAAGUGACCUUUCCUUCAUCUUUUUGUGGAUAUUUUAUUUUUUGAGCAGAUUCUGAAUAUUUUUCUCUUAGUCUUGUGCAUGGACUGCUUGCUACAGAAUGUGUGUUUAUAAAGAGCUGAGUCCUCUUUGACUUAGUGGCUACCUUGUGCACACUGCAAGAAAUUUUCAGGUCAAGACUUGGUUCCUGCUAGUUUAUGUCUAUUGAUAAUGAAGUGCAGAAAUUUAAAGUGUAGAGCA